GUCUUUUUGGUUAUUUAAUAUAAAGUCUGACCUGCCCACUGAAUUUAUUUUGAAGGGCCGCAGUAUUUUGACUGUGCAAAGGUAGCAUAAUCAUUAGUCUUUUAAUUGAAGGCUGGUAUGAAUGGUUGGAUGAGGUACAAGCUGUGUCAUAAAAAUUAAUUUUUGAAUUUACCUUUUUAGUCAAAAGGCUAAAAUAGUAUUAAAAGACGAGAAGACCCUAUAGAGCUUUAUAUAGUUUUUAUUUAAAUUAUUAAGAUUUUUUAAAUUUAAUUACUUUAUUAUAUUUUGUUGGGGUGACAAUAAAAUUUAUAAAACUUUUAUUUUUAUUUACCAUUAAUAUAUGUAUGUAUGAUCCAGUUUUAUUGAUUAUAAAUUUAAGUUACCUUAGGGAUAACAGCGUAAUUUUUUUUGAGAGUUCUUAUCGACAAAAAAGAUUGCGACCUCGAUGUUGGAUUAAGAGUAAUUUUGGGUGUAGAAGUUCAAAGUUUAAGUCUGUUCGACUUUUAAAUUCUUACAU
rnacentral:rRNA from 1 species